UUCAGGUGACAUGUACUUGUGAGACCGGAAGAACCUGCUAUUUGGUGAAAGCUCAUGGUUGUGUUCAAGAUUUAACCGGCAACAGAGAAACCAACAACACUGGAGUAGAAGUUGAAAAUUUGCUGGCCUUCUUCUUUGGUACUGAACUUCAUCCCCAUACAAGGUUUCAAAUCUUCUUCUAUGCUGCUUUCAGUAACACAUUCUAUUUUCUUUCUUUCAUUUUCAAAGAAAUCUUCAAUAUCCUCUGAUGAGAGCAUUCCUAUUUGAUUUCCAUCAUUUGAUUCAGCACUAGCAUACAUUGUAGCUUCUUCGUUAGCACUCUGUGAACUUCCAGUACUGGGAGCAGCAACUUGUGGUUCUUCACACACUACCUGUCAAGAAAUAAGUAAGAAUUCAGAAUAUUGGGAAGAACAUCCAAGACAGUACUGAAAAUAAACUUCAUGAGACACCUGAUGCUUACAUUCUCUGUAUGUAAAUUUACAUGAGGUG